AGCAGUAGCCACGGUAAUACGAAGGGUGCAAGCGUUAAUCGGAAUUACUGGGCGUAAAGCGUGCGUAGGCGGUGAGUUAAGUCUGCUGUGAAAUCCCCGGGCUCAACCUGGGAAUGGCAGUGGAUACUGGCUCGCUAGAGUGUGUCAGAGGAUGGUGGAAUUCCCGGUGUAGCGGUGAAAUGCGUAGAGAUCGGGAGGAACAUCAGUGGCGAAGGCGGCCAUCUGGGACAACAUUGACGCUGAGGCACGAAAGCGUGGGGAGCAAACAGGAUUAGAUACCCCUGUAGUCCCUGUCUCUUAUAC
rnacentral:rRNA from 1 species